AUUAUUUUAAAACGUAUAAAAAUCACUUUUCUAGAGUUCUUUACCUUCUCUCUAAGAGUUCUCUAUUUUUUCUCUAAAAGUUCUGAUUCUUGAGUCAUCUCUUUGACGAACAACAACCAUUUAAUCGAUCACGGCGACAAAGCCUAUAUUUUUAGCAGAUCACUUUUUGUCAUAAAGCAAGUAAGUUUCUACCCCUAUUUCUGUUCUAUUUCAACCUGUGAUUCUAUCUAAGAAUCCUCCUUUGUAUGUAGCCUUUUUGUUUUCCCUUUUAUUCUUAGUUAAAUUAAGGUCCUAAGGACUCUGUUCGAUCAUCCUUCGAUGUUUCAUAGGUUUUUCUAGAGUUUCUUU
rnacentral:lncRNA from 1 species